ACCCAGACUCCUACGGGAGGCAGCAGUGAGGAAUAUUGGGCAAUGGAGGCAACUCUGACCCAGCCAUGCCGCGUGAGUGAAGAAGGUUUUCGGAUUGUAAAGCUCUUUCGGAUGUGACGAUGAUGACGGUAGCAUCUAAAGAAGCCCCGGCUAACUUCGUGCCAGCAGCCGCGGUAAUACGAAGGGGGCAAGCGUUGUUCGGAAUUACUGGGCGUAAAGGGUGCGCAGGCGGCUCUGCAAGUCAGGCGUGAAAGCUAGGGGCUCAACCCCUAAACUGCGCUUGAAACUGUGGAGCUUGAGUGAAGUAGAGGCAGGCGGAAUUCCCGGUGUAGCGGUGAAAUGCGUAGAGAUCGGGAGGAACACCAGUGGCGAAGGCGGCCUGCUGGGCUUUAACUGACGCUCAGGCACGAAAGCAUGGGUAGCAAACAGGAUUAGAUACCCUCGUAA
rnacentral:rRNA from 1 species